rnacentral:rRNA from 1 species
UACGGGGGGGGCAAGCGUUGUUCGGAAUUACUGGGCGUAAAGGGCGCGUAGGCGGCCUUCUAAGUCGGACGUGAAAUCCCUCGGCUUAACCGAGGAACUGCGUCCGAGACUGAAAGGCUUGAAUCCGGGAGAGGGAUGUGGAAUUCCAGGUGUAGCGGUGAAAUGCGUAGAUAUCUGGAGGAACACCGGUGGCGAAGGCGACAUCCUGGACCGGCAUUGACGCUGAGGCGCGAAAGCCAGGGGAGCAAACGGG